CAGAGCACAGUUCAUCAAAUCUGAAACCAGGACCUGGACCUUGAAGAGGUUCUCCUGCUGAUCCUGCGAAUGCUCCUGAAGCAUCUCCGCAGUGAAAAGUACCUUUAACAACCUCAUGUCCUGAUGGCAGCACAAGGCUGCACGCACAGUCACAUGGAGCACCGACCUUCGUUCUACCAAUCCAUCUAUCAAGCCACCUGUGUAUCUAUCAACCCAUCCAUCCAUUCAGGAGUUGGGAGUUGAUGCAGGAUUUUGAUCCAGACCUCAUAUCUGCUCAUUUAGACAGACCACCUCAGUUACCAUCUGGGAGUUUUGAAUU